rnacentral:lncRNA from 1 species
CUACAUAGACCUUUUAGUUGCAUGUUAGGUCGACGAUCACUAAAACCCGACUUGCAACCAUUAGACGAAGAAUUAGAAAAGACUCUUAGGACUAUUCGAGUUAGGAACAUGGCUGCACCUGGUGAGGCUAAUCCUCCACGCUCAUUGAGAGAAUAUUUCACUCCAUCCUCGUAUACCUACUCUCCAUGCAUUCAAGCACCUCUAGUAGAAGCUACCC